GACGUAGGGCGCGAGCGUUGUCCGGAUUUAUUGGGCGUAAAGAGCUCGUAGGCGGCUCAUUGCGUCAACCGUGAAAACCAGCAGCUCAACUGUUGGCUUGCGGUUGAUACGGGUGGGCUGGAGUUCGGUAGGGGAGACUGGAAUUCCUGGUGUAGCGGUGAAAUGCGCAGAUAUCAGGAGGGAACACCCGGUGGGCGAAAGGCGGGUCUCUGGGCCGAUACUGACGCUGGAGGAGCGAAAGCGUGGGGGAGC
rnacentral:rRNA from 1 species